GGGUUGUGAGGUUAAGCGACUAAGCGUACACGGUGGAUGCCCUGGCAGUCAGAGGCGAUGAAGGACGUGCUAAUCUGCGAAAAGCGUCGGUAAGGUGAUAUGAACCGUUAUAACCGGCGAUGUCCGAAUGGGGAAACCCAGUGUGAUUCGUCACACUAUCGUUAACUGAAUACAUAGGUUAACGAGGCGAACCGGGGGAACUGAAACAUCUAAGUACCCCGAGGAAAAGAAAUCAACCGAGAUUCCCCCAGUAGCGGCGAGCGAACGGGGAGCAGCCCAGAGUCUGAAUCAGCUUGUGUGUUAGUGGAACGGUCUGGAAAGUCCGACGGUACAGGGUGAUAGUCCCGUACACCAAAAUGCACAGGCUGUGAACUCGAAGAGUAGGGCGGGACACGUGGUAUCCUGUCUGAAUAUGGGGGGACCAUCCUCCAAGGCUAAAUACUCCUGACUGACCGAUAGUGAACCAGUACCGUGAGGGAAAGGCGAAAAGAACCCCGGCGAGGGGAGUGAAAAAGAACCUGAAACCGUGUACGUACAAGCAGUGGGAGCACCUUCGGGUGUGACUGCGUACCUUUUGUAUAAUGGGUCAGCGACUUAUAUUCUGUAGCAAGGUUAACCGUAUAGGGGAGCCGCAGGGAAACCGAGUCUUAACUGGGCGUUAAGUUGCAGGGUAUAGACCCGAAACCCGGUGAUCUAGCCAUGGGCAGGUUGAAGGUUGGGUAACACUAACUGGAGGACCGAACCGACUAAUGUUGAAAAAUUAGCGGAUGACUUGUGGCUGGGGGUGAAAGGCCAAUCAAACCGGGAGAUAGCUGGUUCUCCCCGAAAGCUAUUUAGGUAGCGCCUCGUGAAUUCAUCUUCGGGGGUAGAGCACUGUUUCGGCUAGGGGGUCAUCCCGACUUACCAACCCGAUGCAAACUACGAAUACCGAAGAAUGUUAUCACGGGAGACACACGGCGGGUGCUAACGUCCGUCGUGAAGAGGGAAACAACCCAGACCGCCAGCUAAGGUCCCAAAGUCAUGGUUAAGUGGGAAACGAUGUGGGAAGGCACAGACAGCCAGGAUGUUGGCUUAGAAGCAGCCAUCAUUUAAAGAAAGCGUAAUAGCUCACUGGUCGAGUCGGCCUGCGCGGAAGAUGUAACGGGGCUAAACCAUGCACCGAAGCUGCGGCAGCGACACUAUGUGUUGUUGGGUAGGGGAGCGUUCUGUAAGCCUGCGAAGGUGGCCUGUGAGGGUUGCUGGAGGUAUCAGAAGUGCGAAUGCUGACAUAAGUAACGAUAAAGCGGGUGAAAAGCCCGCUCGCCGGAAGACCAAGGGUUCCUGUCCAACGUUAAUCGGGGCAGGGUGAGUCGACCCCUAAGGCGAGGCCGAAAGGCGUAGUCGAUGGGAAACAGGUUAAUAUUCCUGUACUUGGUGUUACUGCGAAGGGGGGACGGAGAAGGCUAUGUUAGCCGGGCGACGGUUGUCCCGGUUUAAGCAUGUAGGCUGGUUGUCCAGGCAAAUCCGGAUAAUCAAGGCUGAGGUGUGAUGACGAGGCACUACGGUGCUGAAGUAACAAAUGCCCUGCUUCCAGGAAAAGCCUCUAAGCAUCAGGUAACAUUAAAUCGUACCCCAAACCGACACAGGUGGUCAGGUAGAGAAUACCAAGGCGCUUGAGAGAACUCGGGUGAAGGAACUAGGCAAAAUGGUGCCGUAACUUCGGGAGAAGGCACGCUGGUGUGUAGGUGAAGCCCCUGCGGGUGGAGCUGAGACCAGUCGAAGAUACCAGCUGGCUGCAACUGUUUAUUAAAAACACAGCACUGUGCAAACACGAAAGUGGACGUAUACGGUGUGACGCCUGCCCGGUGCCGGAAGGUUAAUUGAUGGGGUUAUCCGUAAGGAGAAGCUCUUGAUCGAAGCCCCGGUAAACGGCGGCCGUAACUAUAACGGUCCUAAGGUAGCGAAAUUCCUUGUCGGGUAAGUUCCGACCUGCACGAAUGGCGUAAUGAUGGCCAGGCUGUCUCCACCCGAGACUCAGUGAAAUUGAACUCGCUGUGAAGAUGCAGUGUACCCGCGGCAAGACGGAAAGACCCCGUGAACCUUUACUAUAGCUUGACACUGAACAUUGAGCCUUGAUGUGUAGGAUAGGUGGGAGGCUUUGAAGCGUGGACGCCAGUCUGCGUGGAGCCAACCUUGAAAUACCACCCUUUAAUGUUUGAUGUUCUAACGUUGGCCCCUUACCGGGGUUGCGGACAGUGUCUGGUGGGUAGUUUGACUGGGGCGGUCUCCUCCCAAAGCGUAACGGAGGAGCACGAAGGUUAGCUAAUCCUGGUCGGACAUCAGGAGGUUAGUGCAAUGGCAUAAGCUAGCUUGACUGCGAGCGUGACGGCGCGAGCAGGUGCGAAAGCAGGUCAUAGUGAUCCGGUGGUUCUGAAUGGAAGGGCCAUCGCUCAACGGAUAAAAGGUACUCCGGGGAUAACAGGCUGAUACCGCCCAAGAGUUCAUAUCGACGGCGGUGUUUGGCACCUCGAUGUCGGCUCAUCACAUCCUGGGGCUGAAGUAGGUCCCAAGGGUAUGGCUGUUCGCCAUUUAAAGUGGUACGCGAGCUGGGUUUAGAACGUCGUGAGACAGUUCGGUCCCUAUCUGCCGUGGGCGCUGGAGAAUUGAGGGGGGCUGCUCCUAGUACGAGAGGACCGGAGUGGACGCAUCACUGGUGUUCGGGUUGUCAUGCCAAUGGCACUGCCCGGUAGCUAAAUGCGGAAGAGAUAAGUGCUGAAAGCAUCUAAGCACGAAACUUGCCCCGAGAUGAGUUCUCCCUGAGACUUUAAGUCUCCUGAAGGAACGUUAAAGACGAUGACGUUGAUAGGCCGGGUGUGUAAGCGCAGCGAUGCGUUGAGCUAACCGGUACUAAUGAACCGUGAGGCUUAACCUUACAACGCCGAAG
rnacentral:rRNA from 1 species